rnacentral:rRNA from 1 species
AUACGGAGGGUGCAAGCGUUAUUCGGAAUCACUGGGCGUAAAGGACGCGUAGGCGGGUUGGCAAGUCAGAUGUGAAAUCCUACAGCUUAACUGUAGAACUGCAUUUGAAACUGCUAACCUAGAGUAUGGGAGGGGGAGAUGGAAUUAGUGGUGUAGAGGUAAAAUCCGUAGAUAUCACUAGGAAUACCGAAAGCGAAGGCGAUCUCCUGGAACAUAACUGACGCUAAGGCGUGAAAGCGUGGGGAGCAAACAGGAUUAGAUACCCCAGUAGUCC